AUGCAUUUUCUUGAACAUAAUGAAAACCUACUCUGUUCUUAUCAGCUUAAUAUCUUACACGGAUCCUAUUUGAACCUAAGAUAUUAAACUUAUUUUUGCAUUGCGGCGGAGUGCUUGAAGCUUGCUUCACCUCCGCCACGGGUUGGCCCGCUAUUGCACUACCUCCAGGAUCAACCCACUCACC